rnacentral:rRNA from 1 species
CCUACGGGAGGCAGCAGUCGAGAAUCAUUCACAAUGGGGGAAACCCUGAUGGUGCGACGCCGCGUGGGGGAAUGAAGGUCUUCGGAUUGUAAACCCCUGUCAUGUGGGAGCAAAUUAAAAAGAUAGUACCACAAGAGGAAGAGACGGCGAACUCGGUGCCAGCAGCCGCGGUAAUACAGAGGUCUCAAGCGUUGUUCGGAAUCACUGGGCGUAAAGCGUGCGUAGGCUGUUUCGCAAGUCGUGUGUGAAAGGCGCGGGCUCAACCCGCGGACGGCACAUGAUACUGGGAGACUAGAGUAGGGGAGGGGGAAGCGGAAUUCUCGGUGUAGCAGUGAAAUGCGUAGAUAUCGCGAGGAACACUGGUGGCGAAGGCAGGUUCCUGGACAUUAACUGACGCUGAGGCACGAAGGCCAGGGGAGCGAAAGGGAUUAGAUACCCCGGUAGUC